CUGUCUGAAUAUGGGGGGACCAUCCUCCAAGGCUAAAUACUCCUGACUGACCGAUAGUGAACCAGUACCGUGAGGGAAAGGCGAAAAGAACCCCGGCGAGGGGAGUGAAAAAGAACCUGAAACCGUGUACGUACAAGCAGUGGGAGCACGCUUAGGCGUGUGACUGCGUACCUUUUGUAUAAUGGGUCAGCGACUUAUAUUCUGUAGCAAGGUUAACCGAAUAGGGGAGCCGAAGGGAAACCGAGUCUUAACUGGGCGUUAAGUUGCAGGGUAUAGACCCGAAACCCGGUGAUCUAGCCAUGGGCAGGUUGAAGGUUGGGUAACACUAACUGGAGGACCGAACCGACUAAUGUUGAAAAAUUAGCGGAUGACUUGUGGCUGGGGGUGAAAGGCCAAUCAAACCGGGAGAUAGCUGGUUCUCCCCGAAAGCUAUUUAGGUAGCGCCUCGUGAAUUCAUCUCCGGGGGUAGAGCACUGUUUCGGCAAGGGGGUCAUCCCGACUUACCAACCCGAUGCAAACUGCGAAUACCGGAGAAUGUUAUCACGGGAGACACACGGCGGGUGCUAACGUCCGUCGUGAAGAGGGAAACAACCCAGACCGCCAGCUAAGGUCCCAAAGUCAUGGUUAAGUGGGAAACGAUGUGGGAAGGCCCAGACAGCCAGGAUGUUGGCUUAGAAGCAGCCAUCAUUUAAAGAAAGCGUAAUAGCUCACUGGUCGAGUCGGCCUGCGCGGAAGAUGUAACGGGG
rnacentral:rRNA from 1 species